CCUUGGAUAUUUCAAAGUUUUGACUUGGGACAGAGAGUGCUAACCAAUCUGAAAAAUUCCCUGAGGAAAAGAGAUUAUCUGCUACAUGUGGGUGUAGCUGCAACCUCUGCACGGAAAACUCCAAUGCAAGGGAGAUGUCAAAGCUGGGGUUUAAGAUGAUCCCUGUGGGAAACAGGAAGGAUAAGAGCUGCUUGAAAGCCAGUAAAGCAGUUUCAUUCCCAGGUCUUCCUUUCGGUCAGAAGACAGGAAAGAAUGGACGUCCUCAGCCACACUGCAAAGGGCUGGUGGAUGGGGCAGCAGCUGAAGCAGAAAGAAAAGCAAAGCUGACCAAUCCUCAGAUUAGCCUGACCCUCAAAGCCAGUGAGCUGCUUCAUGGGCGAUUUCACAACUGAGCCAUGAAUGAUCCAAAGAGCUUUUAAAGAUUGUCUCUCACUUGUUUUGCUUGUUCAUGAGAAUAUGUCGCUCCUGGGAAAUGAUGUGGCCAGCAUGUUGUGAGUCAUGAAUUGCACUGAUUGCAAGCACAGCUGGGAAUCCUCUUCAGCCAUUCCCAAUUGCUUCCUUUCUCUAGCCUAUUUUAUCAUUUGAUUUUUUACUGGCAGAAAAAAAAAAAGUUACAUUAAAAAUAGGGCUUUGUUGCUUUUUCUGGCCCCAGCACUCCUUGGCAGCUGACUUCACUCUCCCUUUCUUUUUCUUUUUUUUAAUUCUUCUUUUCUUUAGAGAGCAUCAGACCACCCUUCUCUACCCAGAAAGUCUCUCUGCCCCUUGCUGGUCUGUUCACUUUCUGUAGUGAUUCUUAUUUGCAGCAAGUUGCCCCUGAACAGCACCACCACCGCACCAACCCCCUCCUUCUUUCCCAUUCUGUGUCCUGCCCUGCUCUUGCAUAUCUACCCAUUUUGUAUACGGUCUCCGUGCUGGAAAUAUCUUUAGUUAAGCCUUCUUAUUGGCUUUCCAAGCAAACUGGUAACUGAAACCCUGGCACUGUAACUCAGUAAAGCCUUUUUUGUGUUCUUCUUUGGUCCUUUUUAUACAAAAGCCCAGAAAUUUUCCCUGCAGGCUUGUAAUUGUGCUGCCAUUAUAGGAUAGCUCUUUUAAGCCAAUCAUCUGAAAUGCCCAUCUUUCUGUGUUAUUGUGUGUCAGAAAGAGCAAAGCUCCCUCUCUCCUUGCUGUGCAGACAUCCCGAUGCAGAAAUUAAGCUGUGCAAAUCUAUCUCCUCACAAUCCAAAAUAAGAAACGAGCCUCACACCAAAGUCAGUGAAGUCUCCCACAGGCUUCAGAUGGCUUUGAGUCAGAUCCUAAGGGCGAAGCUGAGAUCUAGGCACCAUUCAGCUUCCUCUUUAAACAAAUUAAUUGAUGGGAAUAGCUAUUAUUCAUUAUCAGAAGAGCAGUAGCUACCUUGGAAAAUUUCUCCUCAUUCUGGAACUGCUUUGCAGCAAGGGAUUUGAACACCGAGUCCCACUCGCUUCCCCUCUCCCUCACACGUACCAGACAGCUGCCCCUGGCAAAAGGAGUCCUGCACUAAGCACUGCCUUUCAGCUCAACAGUUAUUUUGCCUGCAGCCCAAGCAAUAUUUGACACAUAUUGUAUCCUGUUUCUGCUGCGUCAGCAGUGUUGUGUAAACACGUUAGCUCAUUGAGGCAUGGAACUCACAAUUGUUUUCCCACUUGCAAAACAAACCACAUCCAAUAAACCCAGGGGAUAAGCCAGUUAUUCAGAUUUCUACUUCAGCACAAGAGAAGUGGUUAAUAAAGUUACUAUUCUCCUUUGUGUUCCGUCAGCUGCCUCUGAUAGUAUGAAGUGUUGCUGACAUGGCAGGAAUAGAUGACAUUGCCUUUCAGCAGCCCCUUCCUAUUCCCUCUGAGGGGACUAAGCAGAUUGAGGAGACUGAUAGGUUGUCUCUCCUGAUGGUAACAGGGGUCUGGUUCCCUUUCUGCUCAGUACAUAGCAGAGGAAACAAAGCACAACAGCACCGCCUGCAAAUCCUCCUUAGCUGGGACUGACUGCUGCUCAUGCUUGCUGGAUCCCAGGCUUGGCUGCUGGAGGGCUGAUUUCAUCUGGAGCAGACAGCAGUGAGGUUAGGCAGAUAGGUGGAAGUAACGUGAGGAAGAAGGAGCAGAAGAUCUUUCAGCUCAGGGAAUGUACACAAAACAAACUGUUAGUCCAUGUGGAUCUGCUAGCUAGCAGAGCCCACUCCAGGCAGACUCCCACUCAUUUCUGAGUGUUGCAGGAUGGGAAGCAGCAGGAGCAGCCAGGUGAUGUAUUUACCAUUCUUCUAUCUUAGACACACCACUGCAGACACAGCAUUUCAAAAUGCCUUUUAGCCCUGCAGAUGAUGAAAGCAUGGUGGCCUGAAUUCUUCCUACCUACCUGUGGGCACUGAACUCUUUCACUAACUUGGGAGGAACAGAGAGAGACAGACAGACAGAUAUCAGUACAAAGCUAUGCAAAUAUAGGGUAGGAAGAGGUGCCCUCAACCAGUACCUUCCUCUCCACAAACAGAGUGAGGUCAGGCAGGGCAUAUCUGAGGGGCUAUGAAUGUAUUUUAUCCUCUGCACUGAUUUCUUUGCUCCUGGAUGCAGUUCUAGGUUUUUGUUGUAACUGAUCACGUGAGGUCUCACACAGACUUUAUCUAGAGCACUAGCUGAAACCAGCUGAGGUGCUGACAGCAGCAUCCCCUUUGCUACCCCAGCUCUCUCCCAGUUUUGUGGUAGGAGGCUGCUGCUCACUUACCAACUUAACCUGUUGUUCCUCCCAGGCUCCUCUGAACACCUUCAAAUUGUUUUUUAAAGCAAAAGAAGACAGAACAGAACCCUUCCUAAGGGGUCUUUAUAGUUAAAGUGGUUAAGUUGGUCUUUGUGCAGAUUCACCCAGCCUACGUGUCACCUGCUUUCCCAGUACUAUCACUUGCUGUAACACUGGUGCUUCUGAAAGACUGUGGGAAAUACUCAUCCUAUGCCCAGUAGAGUCUUGGAUGUGUUACUACAGGUCUUUGUUUUGGGGGAAGAGGAAUGGAGAAACUUUAAACUUCUGGAUAUUUUUCCUUUUGUUAAAUCCCUUUUUGAGAGUCAACAUAUAUUCUUUUUAUAUCUGUCUCUUUUUUGUAUCAAUAAAUAUCUUCAUAUGUG